AUUCAGCUGAAGAAUCCCAAAUAGAACGAAACACGCGUCCUCGAU
rnacentral:hammerhead_ribozyme from 1 species